rnacentral:rRNA from 1 species
UGAGGAAUAUUGGUCAAUGGGCGAGAGCCUGAACCAGCCAAGUCGCGUGAGGGAUGACGGGUCCAUGGCCUGUAAACCUCUUUUGUGAAGGAAGAACCGCGGGGACGCGUCCCCGCCUGCCAGUACUUCACGAAUAAGCAUCGGCUAACUCCGUGCCAGCAGCCGCGGUAACACGGGGGAUGCGAGCGUUAUCCGGAUUCAUUGGGUUUAAAGGGAGCGUAGGCGGCCCGACAAGUCAGCGGUAAAAGACUGCAGCUAAACUGUAGCACGCCAUUGAAACUGCCGGGCUAGAGUGCAGACGAGGUUGGCGGAACAGGUGAAGUAGCGGUGAAAUGCAUAGAUAUCACCUGGAACCCCGACAGCGAAGGCAGCUGACCAGGCUGUAACUGACGCUGAUGCUCGAGGGCGUGGGUAGCGAACAGGAUUAGAUACC